AUUUAGGAACUACGCACACACACCACCAGACACUGAGACGCCUGUACUUAAGGGAGGAGGAAACACAUCUGAGUAGGGAACACAGGCCACAUGCUGCUCUCCAGCCUGCUGUGGGUGACAGUGGCCUUCACCUGCUCUGGACCCAGUGUGGCUCAGAAAGUUACUCAAGUCCAGUCAGCUAUAUCCGGGCCAACAGGGACAUCAGUCACCCUGGAGUGUGCGUAUGAGACAAGCUGGACCACAUACAUUCUUUAUUGGUACAAGCAACUUCCUAGUGGAGAGAUGAUUUUCGUUAUUAAUCAGGGAUCUAGCAGACAGAAUGAAAAGAAUGGUCGCUAUUCUACCAACUUCCAGAAAUCAGCUAAAUCGAUCAGCCUCAUCAUUUCAUCCUUACAACUAGAGGAUUCAGCAAAGUAUUUCUGUGCUCUCUGGGAACUCACAGUGUUUGAAGUGAUAGUAAAAGCUGAACAAAAACCCCAGAGCUUAAUAAGAGAAAUCAUCCUUUUGCUGUAG